rnacentral:lncRNA from 1 species
GCUGCCAAGAAAGACCGAUUCGGAGUGGGUUAUCAGCCGGGCCGAGGCUCGUCAGGACAGGGUAAAGGACGUCGUCCGUCAUUCACAUUCACCAGUGCUGGAAUGCUGGAUCCAGAUCACAUCUGUAUGGUGGAUGAAGAAGUUGACAGUGAGUGCGAGAUUGAUCGAUGGAUAAAGCCGUGCGCGCCAGGGAUGGGAGUUCAGAACUGGAAGGCUGAAAAGAUCAUCACUGUC